rnacentral:rRNA from 1 species
UUGCCUCAGUAACGGCGAGUGAAGCGGCAACAGCUCAAAUUUGAAAUCUGGCUUCGGCCCGAGUUGUAAUUUGUAGAGGAUGCUUCGGCUUACGUACCGGUCUAAGUUCCUUGGAACAGGACGUCACAGAGGGUGAGAAUCCCGUUUGUGGCCGGCACUUCCGCCAUGUGAAGCUCCUUCGACGAGUCGAGUUGUUUGGGAAUGCAGCUCUAAAUGGGAGGUAAAUUUCUUCUAAAGCUAAAUACCGGCCAGAGACCGAUAGCGCACAAGUAGAGUGAUCGAAAGAUGAAAAGCACUUUGGAAAGAGAGUUAAAAAGUACGUGAAAUUGUUGAAAGGGAAGCGCUUGCGACCAGACUUGCCCGCGGAUGCUCAACCGGUCCUUCGGCCGGUGCACUCUUCCGCGGUCAGGCCAGCAUCAGUUCGGGCGGUCGGAUAAAGGCCUUGGGAAUGUGGCUCUCUUCGGGGAGUGUUAUAGCCCUUGGUGUAAUACGGCCCGCCUGGACUGAGGCCCGCGCUUCGGCUAGGAUGCUGGCGUAAUGGUCGUAAGCGGCCCGUCUUGAAACACGGACCAAGGAGUCUAACAUCUAUGCGAGUGUUUGGGUGUCAAACCCGUGCGCGAAAUGAAAGUGAACGGAGGUGGGAACCUUAGGGUGCACCAUCGACCGAUCCUGAUGUCUUCGGAUGGAUUUGAGUAAGAGCAUAGCUGUUGGGACCCGAAAGAUGGUGAACUAUGCCUGAAUAGGGUGAAGCCAGAGGAAACUCUGGUGGAGGCUCGCAGCGGUUCUGACGUGCAAAUCGAUCGUCAAAUUUGGGUAUAGGGGCGAAA